UACGUGGGGGGCAAGCGUUGUUCGGAAUUACUGGGCGUAAAGCGCACGUAGGCGGAUUGUUAAGUCGGGGGUGAAAUCCUGGAGCUCAACUCCAGAAUUGCCUUCGAUACUGGCUUUCUAGAGGCUGGAAGAGGUUAGUGGAAUUCCCAGUGUAGAGGUGAAAUUCGUAGAUAUUGGGAAGAACACCAGUGGCGAAGGCGGCUCACUGGUCCAGAUCUGACGCUGAGGUGCGAAAGCGUGGGGAGCAAACAGG
rnacentral:rRNA from 1 species